GAGAGAGAGGAGAGAGAGAGAGAGAGAGAGGGCGAACCUUCCCCUCGAGACUGACUGCAAGUUACUGACCUCUUCUCCUCUUCCCCAAAGAAAACUUUCCGUCGCUCUCCAUUCUCUAUCUUCAAAAGAUCACCAAGCAUCCAAGCCUGAAGAUUUGGAAGAUAUUAAAAGUAAGGAAA